ACGCGAACGAACUUUCGGGGUUAAGUAGAGUGGCGAACGGGUUAGUAACGCGUGGGAACAUACACAGCACAGGGGGAUAACCAUUGGAAACGAUGGCUAAUACCGCAUACGCCCUAUUGGGGAAAGAUUUAUCGGUGUUGGAUUGGCCCGCGUUAGAUUAGCUAGUUGGUGGGGUAAUGGCUCACCAAGGCGACGAUUUAUAGCUGGUUUGAGAGGAUGAUCAGCAACACUGGAACUGAGACACGGUCCAGACUCCUACGGGAGGCAGCAGUCGGGAAUAUUGUGCAAUGGGGGCAACCCUGACACAGCCAUGCCGCGUGAGUGAAGAAGGCCUUAGGGUUGUAAAGCUCUUUCAGAUGUGAGGAUGAUGACGAUAGCAUCAGAAGAAGCUCCGGCUAACUUCGUGCCAGCAGCCGCGGUAAUACGAAGGGAGCUAGCGUNGUUCGGAAUUACUGGGCGUAAAGGGCGUGUAGGCGG
rnacentral:rRNA from 1 species